AAUUGAAUUUUGCUUAGAACAAGUCUUGAUAGUUUGUUGACUCCUUUCAAACUAAUGGGAAAAGAUUAAACAGUUCUAAACAUAUGUGUUUACGGCGGAUCUCUUUUCUAUGGCGAUAGAAGAAUGAAUGUCCAUUGUUUCCGGUGAAAACAGCUGAUAGCUAAUAACAGGUGUCAUAUCCUUAACUAGUUUCCCAUAGAUUUUCUGAGAUGCAAUUUAAUACAGACCUAAGUUUUGCACAAAGGAAUCAAGGGGAGUCAAUGCCAAGAAUAAGCAAACUCAAGAUUCAUAAUGGUGUGGAUAUAAGUUAUAGGUGCAAAUUAACUGCAAAUAUGAACACGAGUCUUCCCAUUAUUACAAAAGAAAAGCAAGAGAGAAGUCUUUGAAGAAUAUCUUGUGAAAAUUGCAUUGAAAUUCUAAACUAAAAAGAAAUCUGUUGUAAACCCAGACUCUUGCCAGUGAGGAUACAUUGUAAAUCAGAGCCCAAUAGUGCCAUCUUUGGAACAUCAAUUCUGUUCGUUAUACUGCGCUGUUCCCUGUGAUGUUUUACCAUAUAGGAUUUGGAGAUAAUGUUGGUAACAGAAUAUCAAUCAUAUAAUGUAAAAUAAGAGAACUCCAUUCAGUGUUUUUCUUUGAAAUAUAUUACUCUGUAAUAGAUUUCUAAAUCAGAAAGAAUUCAUUCCUUUUAUCUGUCUGCUGCAAGGGCUGUGUAUUCAAAUUAAAAUUCACACAUUAUGAUACAAUGUCUUAAAGCAGUGUGCAAUGUACGUGUGUAAUGUGUAUAGGAAUUAAUCUUGUGAAUCUUUUAUACAUAAGUUUUCAAGGACUGAUUAUUUUAAAAUUUAUCAUAUAGUUCUUAUCUCACUGUCAUUACAAAAGAGACUUCAGACUUUAAAAAUACAUGUAUGUAAAACCAAUGUCUAAAAUCAUAGAUUUCUGUGAGUAACACACUAUUUUUUUUCCAAAUGAGCAUCUGUCAAUUUGCUGAAUGUUUUUUUUAAUCACAAUAGGUCAUAGGUGUAUUUCAGAACAGUCAAAAAUGUUUUUUUUUCUCAAAUUUCUCUUGACCAAUAUAUUGAGAUUUUAUUUGUAAGAAUUCAGUAAAAAAAAAUUACCAGAUCAGCAUUGGAAAGAUGUCCACAUUCAUUUGCAUUUAGUUUUAUAGAGGGUAUCUUCAUGUGUAUUGAACGAUGUAGGUUCAAUUGUUUGUUUGUUUGUUUGUUUGUUUUUUUUUUUGGGGGGGGGGGGGGUUCCAUGGUUAGGGCAUAACAAGGGAACUACAUUGAAAAGGGAAUACUAAUCUGACAAAAUUAUGUUUAGUAAAUGCAGUUGUCAAUACAUACAUAAUGUAACACUCAAAACCUGGUUUAGGGCCACAAAGAGGGUUUUUUAUAUUUACUUGAUAUGAGAGACAGGCGCUGAGAGACUCAGAGAAAGCAAUUUGACUAAGGUGAGCAUUGUGAACAUAAGGUAUCCAUCAAUAUUAUAAAAAAAAUUAUGCUAGUAUCAACUUUAAAAAAUAAAUAUUGAAAUUUAGAGUUCAUCACUGGAGAGUAGAUUGCAUAUUUGUCUUAAUUUUAUUAGCAAAAUGUUUCAUUAGCACUUUGUUUUGCAGUAUUGUACAUGACAAUCUUGAGUUUGUUUUUGAAAUUAUGGUCAAAGUUUUAAAAUUCUAGCAUUACUAGGUAUAUGAUUAAACAUGUACUAAUCUUGUAUAUAAUUAUGUUGAUUUUGUUUUCUUUACUUGGUGAAAUUGUAAGUUGGAAACC